GUGGAAACAUGCAGCGUUUGCGUACAGCUUGGUUCACUGUCGUCAACUGGUGGAAUCAACUCCACGCACGAUCAUCAGUCACUCUGUUGCGAUGUUUUACAACACAGAUAAGUUUAAGUUCUGUCUGUAGUAGUCUACGUGGACAGAAUUCAACUUUUCGUGGAUUAAGUGCCGCGGGCGUGCAAUGUGCAGUUCGUAUUUAGCGCCAGCUGGCGGCGAGCGUGCGGCUACGAACGAGGCUGGGGAAGACGAGGCGUUCCGCGCACGAAGAAGGAAGAUGUAAAUGAUCCAAUUACUGCUCAUUAUCUUAUUGAGGUGUGUCCAUAUCUUACCCUACGGCAGUAAAAAGCAAAGGAACAAGUUGAAUCUACCGGUGAAUAGUGCUCAAAACAGUGUGUAUACAUGGACGUUCGAUCUUUUAGACAAACCAAUUGUCACUAUCUAAUAAAAUUUUUUUAGCUUGACGUUUUCCUAGUGAGAUCAGGAUAUUCACAGGAACCUACAAGUCAUUUUUACAGGAAUCUACACCGGUCAGCAAAUUUAGCAUCACGCAUAUAAUCAAAGAGCUGUCAUUAUUAAUUCAACGUACUACGUGUGCUUUAUGGAUAAUACAGUGAGUUAUAAUAUACUACAGAACUGUGA